UACAAGGAGGGGGAGCCAAGUCAGGGCAAGCAUUGUUGCUGAAUUUUUCAGCUGAAAGACCACACAAACUGAGGACGACCACAACGGCAAGCACCACAUGAUGCACCAGCUCAGCACCCUUCCCCUUCUCACUCCCCCUCCACUUCCCAGUCCCCCUCCCCUUCUCACUCCCCCUCCCCUUCUCACUCCCCCUCAGC